GGGCGCUUGGCACAGUGGUAGCGCGCCUGCUUUGCACUUCGGUUGCAAAUUGCAUGAGGUCGAGGGUUCAAACCCCUCAGCGUCCA